GGCCCUGCCUGCAGAAGGGCUGAAAAGUAGGCUUGCUGUGAAAGUGCUUGUAUGUCCCUGAGGGGAGAAGCAAGUCACAGUCAGGGCACUGGUUCCUGUCAUCCGGUGCAACACAAAGCAGGCGCCAGGACAUGGGGUGCAGACGGGAGCACAGAGAGG
rnacentral:lncRNA from 1 species